GCGUCCCCUUCCACACCGUGGAAGGUUUGUUCUUUCGCUCUUUUCAAUAAAUCUUGCUACCGCUCACUCUUUGGGUCCAGACUGCCUUUAUGAACUGUAACACUCACCUCCAAGGUCUGCAGCUUCACUCCUGAAGCCAGUGAGACCACGAGCCCACCAGGAGGAACGAACAACUCCAGACGCGCCGCCUUAAGAGCUGUAACACUCACUGCUAAGGUCUACAGCUUCAUUCCUGAGCCAGCGAGACCACGAACCCACCAGAAGGAAGAAACUCUGAACACAUCCAAACAUCAGAAGGAAUAAACUCCGGACAUGCCGCCUUUAAGAACUGUAACACUCACCGUGUUAAGAACUGUAACACUCACCGUGAGGGUCUGCGGCAUCAUUCUUGAAAAUCAAGUUAAAGUUUUGUUCUGAAAUUUCAAGGCCUUUCACACCAAUUUGAUACGGUUUGGAUUUGUGUCCCUGCUGGAAUGUAAAGUUGAACUGUAAUCCCGGAUGCUGGAUGAGGGACCUGCUGGGAGGUGAUUGCAUCAUGGGGGCAUAUUUCCCCCUUGCUGUUCUCAUGAUGACACAAAUGAACAGCAGAACUCUUGCUCCCAUGAAUUGGCAAGUAUAGUCAGAAGUCUCCCCACUGUGGAUGGGAGACAGAAAAGAAAGAAAGAGCCUGAAUUACUGAGGGGCCUGAACAGAACAAAAUGUCAGAGGAAAGUUGAAUUCGCUCUCUGCUUGUGAGUGCUUGAACUGGAACAUGGAUUGGCCCUCAGUGCUCCUGUUUCUUAGGCCUUCAAGACUAGAUCAGAAUCUUCACCAUCAGCACUGUUUGUCCUCCUGCUUUCAGGCCUUCAAACC
rnacentral:lncRNA from 1 species